rnacentral:rRNA from 1 species
GACGAACGCUGGCGGCGUGCUUAACACAUGCAAGUCGAACGGAAAGGCCCAGCUUUUGUGGGGUGCUCGAGUGGCGAACGGGUGAGUAACACGUGAGUAACCUGCCCUUGACUUUGGGAUAACUUCAGGAAACUGGGGCUAAUACCGGAUAGGAGCUCCUGCUGCAUGGUGGGGGUUGGAAAGUUUCGGCGGUUGGGGAUGGACUCGCGGCUUAUCAGCUUGUUGGUGGGGUAGUGGCUUACCAAGGCUUUGACGGGUAGCCGGCCUGAGAGGGUGACCGGCCACAUUGGGACUGAGAUAGGGCCCAGACUCCUACGGGAGGCAGCAGUGGGGAAUAUUGCACAAUGGGCGGAAGCCUGAUGCAGCAACGCCGCGUGCGGGAUGACGGCCUUCGGGUUGUAAACCGCUUUCGCCUGUGACGAAGCGUGAGUGACGGUAAUGGGUAAAGAAGCACCGGCUAACUACGUG